rnacentral:rRNA from 1 species
CCUACGGGGUGCAGCAGUGAGGAAUAUUGGUCAAUGGGCGCGAGCCUGAACCAGCCAAGUAGCGUGAAGGAUGACUGCCCUACGGGUUGUAAACUUCUUUUAUAAAGGAAUAAAGUGAGGCACGUGUGCCUUUUUGUAUGUACUUUAUGAAUAAGGAUCGGCUAACUCCGUGCCAGCGGCAGCGGUAAUACGGAGGAUCCGAGCGUUAUCCGGGUUUAUUGGGUUUAAAGGGUGCGUAGUUGGGUUGUUAAGUCAGUUGUGAAAGUUUGCGGCUCAACCGUAAAAGUGCAAUUGAUACUGGCAGCCUUGAGUACAGUUGAGGUAGGCGGAAUUCGUGGUGGAGCGGUGAAAUGCUUAGAUAUCACGAAGAACUCCGAUUGCGAAGGCAGCUUACUAAACUGCCACUGACAUUGAUGCUCGAAAGUGUGGGUAUCAAACAGGAUUAGAUACCCGGGUAGUC